GACGAACGCUGGCGGCGUGCUUAACACAUGCAAGUCGAGCGAUGAAAGCCUUAUGAACUAUUCGUAGUGAUUGGGGCCGGAUUAGCGGCGGACGGGUGAGUAACGCGUGAGCAACCUGCCUUAAACAACGGGAUAGCCUCGGGAAACCGGGAUUAAUACCGUAUGAGACCCCGCCUUCACAUGAAGAAGAGGUUAAAGAUUUAUCGGUUUAAGAUGGGCUCGCGUCUGAUUAGCUAGUUGGUGAGAUAAAAGCCCACCAAGGCAACGAUCAGUAACCGGCCUGAGAGAGUGAACGGUCACAUUGGAACUGAGACACGGUCCAAACUCCUACGGGAGGCAGCAGUGGGGAAUAUUGCACAAUGGAGGAAACCCUGAUGCAGCGACGCCGCGUGAGCGAUGAAGGAAUUCGUUUCGUAAAGCUCUGUCCAAGGGGAAGAUAAUGACAGUACCCUUGGAGGAAGCCCCGGCUAAAUACGUGCCAGCCGCCGCAGUAAUAC
rnacentral:rRNA from 1 species